rnacentral:rRNA from 1 species
UACGUAGGUGGCGAGCGUUAUCCGGAUUCACUGGGUGUAAAGGGAGCGUAGACGGCCAAGCAAGCCAGGGGUGAAAGCCCGGGGCCCAACCCCGGGACUGCCCUUGGAACUGCAUGGCUGGAGUGCGGGAGGGGCAGGCGGAAUUCCUGGUGUAGCGGUGAAAUGCGUAGAUAUCAGGAGGAACACCGGCGGCGAAGGCGGCCUGCUGGACUGCGACUGACGUUGAGGCUCGAAAGCGUGGGAAGCAAACAGG